CAGGCUCAAGGCACUCGUCUUGUCCUAGGGGGGAUAAAGACACUUCAGUUAACUGUGGAAAUGUCACAUCCAAAAGCACAGAAAUAUAAUGGAGGUUCUUCAAACUAAAGUGGAAUGCUUGGCACUAUGGUGACAAAAGACUGAACCUCUGAGUGAAGCCUCUUGGCUGAGGACUGCUAUGGUCAGAACUUCACAGCACUGAGAGUGGCUGUCAGAGCACCGGAGAUUGUCAGAAGAUCUCAUUUCUAGUCUUAGCUGUAGGACUGUGGGCAAGUCACCGUCUUCUGCACUUUCUAUGGGAGAGACCAUUCGCUCAACCGUCAGGAAAGCAGCGAGGUUAGCAGUAUAAGAUGAUAUAAUGAUGAGUGU
rnacentral:lncRNA from 1 species